UAAGUAAGUGGUGGAAAUUAAACCAAAUGGGAUUUCUUUAGUAAUUGCGAAUGAACAAGGAUAUGCUUAGCUUGACAAAUGGAGCUUUUGGCUUUGAGUUGUAUUGUGGAAAUGUACCACCAACAGAGGUGCAAGUGUCAGCCAUUUGAAAGAAAGCGUCAAUGAGGGUGAGAAUCCUGUUUGUCAUGUGCAGCCCUCUGUGCACGGUGUAUAUUUGCUGAGUCACACUCCUUGGCAUUGGAAUGCAAAGUGGGUGGUAAGUUUCAUACAAAGGUAAAUAUGCAAUUGAGACUGAUAGCACACAAGUACCAUGAGGGAAAUAUGAAAAGGACUUUGAAAAGAGAAUUAAAUGAGUUUGUAUUUGCUGAACACAAAGCAAACAGACUUGAUUUGCUUGGUGAGAUUGUAGUGCUUGCUUGACAAUAGGUUUUGGCUGUGGGUGAAAUGAUUCUUUCUUUGCAUGCCAGGUUCUAUGUGUACAUUUGAUUACCUUUGCACAUGAAUGGUAAUUUUCCUGCGGGGGGUGGAUUGCAUGUGCAUGUAAUGAUUUGUGUUUUGAUGAAUGUGUCUGGUGUAUCUGUUUUUGUUCCAUGUGUUUGAGGUUGUCUUCCUUCCUUGGGCUUACAAGCCCUGACACACACAAUCUGGCAAAAUUGUUUUCUGCUUGACCCG
rnacentral:rRNA from 1 species